ensembl:lncRNA
UUGACUUUAAUGGAUUAACGUGUUGCGAUCCUUCUCAUCAACCAACUCGGGGGGAUUGGAGAUCCCGACAAUUGUCAGGGGUGACAUAUAUUAUUAAAAUUAGGUCUGUUUUUUUUUCAGGUGAGAUUAGCUAUUUAUUGAUCGUAAGAAUUUAAAUGAGGUCAUUUUUUUGUUGUUCUUGGCAUACUUGUGGGGGAUGUGCUCCAGCUCACUGGCUUCUUGUUUUAUUGUUCAACCAGAGCUUCCGUGACAUGUUAUUGAAGGACAUCUGGGAAAAGGAGCUCAGGAAUCAUAAAAUCCCAUUUACAGAAAAUCUCAGCCUCAUUUCUGACCUAGUGGACCCUCCCACUAUAAGCGAGUACCUUCAAGGACUUCCAGUAUGGCGGCAAAUCACUGUCAAAAUUCGAGAGCGCAAAUCAGGUUGAUGCACGCGCGUAAAUCAAACAUCCGUGAGCAAAAGUCCGUCUUGCGCGAGCAAAAGUUUGUCGAAAGCGACGCAAGCCUAGAAAAAUGUCUCGACACACGCAAGGACGCAAGGAGGUGUGAGAAGCAACGCAAGGGACACGCAAGGGGGUCUUGCGUCUGCGUCGCUCUGAAACCGCAGAAGGAUAAAUCAAGCUUUAGCCGAGAUGCUAGCCGUUAGCACCAGCGACUUGGCGGUGAAAUACAACGUUGAGUUGGUUAACAGUUGUUAACAGUGGGUUAACACUAACUUGUCAGGGUUUUUUGGACUGAAUUACCCUGAAGGACCAUGUGGGGUCCUCAGUGAUCCAGUUUUAUGUAUGGCACCUGUCAUGAGUCUGUGUGGUCUUGAUUGUUCUCAUUGCGUUCACCUGUGCCUCGUUCUCUAGCCUUUAAAAAGCCAACUGUGUUUCUUUGUGUUUGCCGAGUCUUGGAACUUACCACCUGGAGCUGAGCUGCGUGAGACACUUGAUAACGUUUCUCUGUUAAUACCUUUUGUUUUUUAAGAUCUUCUGUUGCCUGUUCUUUGGGACACCCUUAGUUUCCUGUUAAAUGCUCUGACUUUGUUUUUAGUUGUCUUGGAAUAUUUUGAGUUCUGUCAACGAUAUGGAACCUUCUACUUUUUGCAAGUAAAGAAACCUUUUUUUGACUCAACAUACGACUUGUCCGUGUCUGUCUCUGC